AAGUCGUAACAAGGUCUCCGUUGGUGAACCAGCGGAGGGAUCAUUACCGAGUUUACAACUCCCAAACCCAAUGUGAACCAUACCAAACUGUUGCCUCGGCGGGGUCACGCCCCGGGUGCGUCGCAGCCCCGGAACCAGGCGCCCGCCGGAGGGACCAACCAAACUCUUUCUGUAGUCCCCUCGCGGACGUUAUUUCUUACAGCUCUGAGCAAAAAUUCAAAAUGAAUCAAAACUUUCAACAACGGAUCUCUUGGUUCUG
rnacentral:misc_RNA from 2 species